GACGAACGCUGGCGGCGUGCUUAACACAUGCAAGUCGAGCGGUAAGGCCCUUUCGGGGGUACGACGAGCGGCGAACGGGUAGAGUAACACGUGGGUGGACCUCGCCCUCCAGCUCUGGGAGUAAGCCUGGGAAACGUAGGGUCGUAAUACUGGAUAUGACUCCACGGUGCAUGUCGUGGGGUGGAAAGCCUUGUGCGGCUGAGGAUGGGCCCGGCGGCCUAUCAGCUUGUUGGUGGGGUGAUGGCCUACCAAGGCGACGACGGGUAGCCGGCCUGAGAGGGCGACCGGCCACACUGGGACUGAGACACGGCCCAGACUCCUACGGGAGGGCAGCAGUGGGGAAUCUUGCGCAAUGGGCGAAAGCCUG
rnacentral:rRNA from 1 species